rnacentral:lncRNA from 1 species
GGUGUCUUGUGCAGCGCGGUGUCAGCAGGAGUCAGAUGUCAGCUGAUGUCAGCUGAUGGCAGAUUUGGUUGUCAGCCGUAGCGCUGUCAUCCUCCCGCCACAUGACUAGCAGAGAAGUGAGUCUGAGAAGCAUAAAAAAGUAAACAGGAACAGAGGCAGGCCCGGGAGGUGGAGACACUGCUGCCCGGGCUUUCACAGCCUUUCAUCUGCAUCUGUCCUUUUCCAAGAUUUGGUAACAUUCCUAUCGGAGAGAUUCACUGCCCUGAGCCAGCUCAGAAACUGUGGGGGACAUGGAUGAAUCUGGAGAACAUCAUCCUCAGCAAACUGACACAAGAACAGAAAAUGAAACACCGCAUAUUCUCACUCAUAGGGGCAGGACGGGUGGAUCACGAGGUCAAGAGAUCGAGACCAUCCUGGUCAACAAGGUGAAACCCCGUCUCUACUAAAAAUAAAAAAAUUAGCUGGGCAUGGUGGCACGUGCCUGUAAUCCCAGCUACUCAGGAGGCUGAGGCAGGAGAAUUGCCUGAACCCAGGAGGCGGAGGUUGUGGUGAGCCAAGAUCGCACCAUUGCACUCCAGCCUGGGUAACAAGAGCGAAACUCCGUCUCAAAAAAAAAAAGAAUAAAAAGAAAAAAUAUAUAGACAGAAUGAAUGAAUCAUGAAACAUUACUUGCAGAUGCUUAGGACUAAAGAAAAUAACAUCUAAAUAUUUAUUAAAGGGAAUUUAAUUAAAUA